rnacentral:misc_RNA from 1 species
AAGAUAUCAUUAGAAGGUGUCACAGCAUGCAGAAACCAGUGAUUGUAGCAACAAACAUGCUGGAAAGCAUGAUUAAUCAUCCUACACCAACAAGGGCUGAAGUUUCAGACAUAGCAAUUGCAGUACGUGAAGGUGCUGAUGCAGUCAUGCUUUCUGGAGAAACUGCCCAUGGAAAGUAUCCGCUGAAAGCUGUUAAAGUCAUGCAUACAGUAGCAUUGAGGACAGAGUCAAGUCUUCCAGUCAACAUAACACCUCCUGCUGAUGGUGCCUAUAAGGGCCAUAUGGGCGAAAUGUUUGCUUUCCAUGCCACAAUUAUGGCUAACACUCUCAAUACACCCAUCAUUGUCUUCACAAGAACAGGAUCAAUGGCUGUACUUCUAAGUCAUUAUCGACCUUCAUCAACAAUAUUUGCCUUCACAAAUGAAGAGAGGAUUAAGCAGAGACUGUCACUUUAUCGGGGUGUUAUGCCAAUAUAUAUGCAAUUCUCAAGUGAUGCAGAGGAGACCUUCUCCCGAGCCCUCACACUAUUACUGAACAAGGGUCUUUUGGUAGAAGGAGAGCACGUCACUCUUGUUCAGAGUGGAGCGCAGCCAAUCUGGCGUCAAGAAUCUACUCAUCACAUUCAAGUUCGCAAGGUCCAGAGCUGAUUUUGCACCAGCAAAGCUUUUUAUUGGACAGGUUAUUUUGUAGUAGC